GCAAAUUCAGGAGGGAGGUAGAGACUUCAAAUGUGUGCAAUUUCCUCAAGUUUCAGGAAGAUUCACAGAUGAUAGACUUCCCUGACAAUGCAUGCAUCCCUGUCCUGCACUGACAUUGUGUGAGGAGAAUAUUCAGCAAAAACAGGAAUAGAAGUGAAAUGAAUAACUGGAGAUGUUUUGAAGGCUCAGUUAUUUCAGCUGCAGAGGAGGAAGAUAGGUGAUAUAUCUGUGGGUAUGAAAGCACCAUCGAAAAUGAAGACAAGGGAAAUUAAAAGAAGAAGUUCCAUGGGCAAGGAAAAUGUAAAUAAGUGGGAAAGUUGUUUCUAAUUUA